UACGGGGGGGGCAAGCGUUGUUCGGAAUUACUGGGCGUAAAGGGCUCGUAGGCGGCCAACUAAGCCAUACGUGAAAUCCCUCGGCUUAACCGGGGAACUGCGUCUGAUACUGGAUGGCUUGAGUUCGGGAGAGGGAUGCGGAAUUCCAGGUGUAGCGGUGAAAUGCGUAGAUAUCUGGAGGAAUACCGGUGGCGAAGGCGGCAUCCUGGACCGGCAUUGACGCUGAGGAGCGAAAGCCAGGGGAGCAAACGGG
rnacentral:rRNA from 1 species